rnacentral:misc_RNA from 1 species
GAAAUGCGAUAAGUAAUGUGAAUUGCAGAAUUCAGUGAAUCAUCGAGUCUUUGAACGCACAUUGCGCCCCAUGGUUAUUCCGUAGGGCAUGCCCGUCUCAGCGUCAGAAGAAACCCUCAGGCAAGGCUUUUGUGCCAGGCCUGGAUUUUGUCAGAGAGGCAGGUGACCCGAGGUCCCUCUGCCCUCUGUAAAACGAUGGAUAUUUUGAAGAUUUGCUUCAUUCCAACGUGAUAGAAUAUUUCAUUCGUUGGUUACAGGCAUUUUCAGAUCUUUCCAUAACAAACCCACAAGAUUAUUAAAUAUUUGACCUGAGAUCGGGUAGGGAUACCCGCUGAACUUAA